rnacentral:lncRNA from 1 species
AGAGCCGGAGAGUAGAGAGAUGUAUCCUGAGUUAGGAGUUGCAUGGGCUCUUGGCUGGUCGAGUGACUACAUCAAAGGUAUCAUUUUCUGGAUUUCUGCUGGACUAGAAAGAAGGCUUUCCUGAACUUGCUAGAGGCCUGCCCUUGACCUUGUUCUCCAAGAGUUUGGAUAGAAGAUGAAGAUAGCAAAUUUCCAGAAGACACAAAGCUGGGAAGGACAGAUGAAGAUUAUUGAAACGAUGUUGAAAAAGAGUUCAGUAGGUGGAAAGAAGAGCCAGAAUGAGCAAAAUGAAAUGGAAAGAAAUGCAGUGAGGUGGGAACACCUGCAAAGUUCUGUCCUUAGCAGUCCACCUGACGCACAUGUGAGGGAGACCUGGGGUGACCAUCACUACUUGACAAAGUAUGUGUCACCUGUCCAGCUCAUCAGGAGUUGGGCCUCCAUGGAGGUCAUUGGAUCUGGGAUCUCUGAGGGCUCUAGCCAGCUACAGCUAUCCAGAAAACCUUGGAACCCCUGUGCCCAUGCGUGGUCCGCUGUCCCCAGAACUUUGUGCCUCUCUGGAGUCUAGCACUUAGCACAGUGCCUUACAGUUAGGUCAUCUGUGCCCAAAUUUAUACUUGACUUCUUGAGUAUAAACUACAGGGUAAGGGCCCUGUUUUACCCCUUCUGAGUUCUCACGACAAAGUGCCUGAUGCAGACACAAAUUGGGGAUUCUAGGAAGUCCCCACAGGCAGGGAUUUUUGUCUAAUUUGUUAGUUUUGGUCACCAUUGCACCCAUUAGACUUAGAGCAAUGCUUGGCAUAAGAUAAGUCUCAAUAUGCAUUUGAUGAAAGAAUGAAUGACAGGUGCAAAUGUUCAGUAAAUCUUAGCCAUUCAUUCUCAGCGUGGUGUGGCUUGUCCUGUUAAUAAGUCACUCUUUUUCUUUUCUAAAGCUUUCAGAAACUCCACAUCCUUUUUCUUUGGCAUCUCGGAUUUUAGUCCAUAGGACUAAAAAGCUGGAUAAUCCUUUGAAAAGAAUAUUCCAGGUAUAAUGAAUUCAUCACCCUCUGGCAGGAAGUUAAGUGCACAGGCUGAGGUCAGAUGGAUCUGGGUUCAGGUUCCAACCUGGACAGCCGUUUAUGAGAUUUCUGACUUGGGAAAAUAUCCUACUUUCUUGAAGCCUUGGUUUUCUCGUCUGUAAAAUAUAGAUAAAACACUUAUUCCAGAGGGUAGAGUAUAUAUAACACAAAGUACCAUCUUAAUAAAUGCUGCUAUUACUAUUGGUUCAACAAAGCCUUUGCUCAAAUAAGAGCCAUGAGUAGAGAGGGAGAAAACUCUUUAGGAAGAAUCAAGGAAAAACAAAUUAGAAAUUGCUAAAGGCUUGCCUUCAAGGUUUAGUUCUUUUGUAUGUCAGAGCACCUGCUCCUAUUAGACAAGUAAGCUCCUCCGAUGGGGGAAGUAGAGGCCGUGCAUUGCUGAGGGAGCUCUGGUCUCCAUGGUAACAGCACAUUAGAUUCUGAUGCAGGCACACCUGGUAUUCUCAGGUUGCUCCACCAUAUGGCACCUCAUAUAUUUCAUCAAGGAAAAGAAAAAACUACCUUGACCUCCCCCUACUGUGCAGGCACAUAGACACCCCCACACACAUACACCACACACACACACACCCUCUAUCUGUCUAAUCCACGGCCACUGAAACCAUAUAAGCUUCUGUCACAGAGAUUGGAAACACGGUUCUGAAAGCCAUUCAGUCAAACAAAGGGCCAGAACAAUUAUUCUUGCUUCAAAGAGGUACCCAGAAGAGAGGUACCUGACAUAUACGUUUGCAAUCUGCCUUCCUUUUCCAGGGACUGACUCAGAAUCAGGUGGCUCCCUCCUCCCCCCCAGCUUGCUAAUGAAGCAGCCCCAUUCCUAACCCUGCUGAAAGCAGAAUCCUUAUACCAUGACUCAUCUCAUGACACUAUUUGUAAAAGUGGCCUCUCAAACUCUCCCUACGUAUAAAUGCCCAGUAAGUGCUCUGCUUUGAACUAGUUUAAAAGGAAAGAGAAAGAUUUCCUGAUAGGUUUUAAGAAAAAAAUACAGCCUGUAGUUGCCAUGUGACACAACCAAAGAAUUAUGGCUGCUUAGAGAUUUCCUGCUCUACUUCAGAAACAGAUGUUUUUAAAAUGUCAUGUUAAAAGAGAUGUCAGAAAUUGGGGACAAAAGUCACUGUUUCUUGUGGCAUACCAAAGUCCUCCUUUUCAAUGGGCAUCUUUCUGAUUUGGUUUCUUCACACCGCGUUCCUGGUAAAGCCCACUUAAAUAAACCAUGCGUGCUGCUCCAGCAUGCUUGGGUGCAACCCUGGUGCCUUGUAUAUGUUAUGCUUCAUAAAGGGCUUUUGAAUUCAAUGUCUUAAAAAGCCACAGUCAAGAAACAUUAGAAUUGAGGUUCUAGAAAUGUUGGCUCACGUCUGGUGUUCAUGGUGGUGUUUCAGGUCCCUCGGGUAGCCUACUGAGUGAUUAAUAAUAACCAAAGGUAUCUGUCCAACAUGGGAAAGUGAGCUGUGCCCUAUAAAGUUUGUAGUUUAUGUUUUGAAACUGGUUCAGUGUGCAGGGUUUCUGGAUCAUUACUUGGUUUUAAUUUGUGGGAAAGGCAUUGUGUUUAAAGCAAUAAAAAGUUUCCUUCCAUGUCAUGGCAACCUUUUGGCAAGCUCACUGGCUCUUUCUCUCAAGCUACUUCUCCACCCACUUGAUCAUGAGGGAACUUGGAGGUUGCCUGUAACCCUAAGGGGAAUUAUAGGUCUCUUAAAACAUAUCUGAUCUCUCCUAAACAUGCCAGAUACAGUCAGACUUUGCUUCCAGCCAAGAUGAAGUCGCUACAUUCCUUGCAGCUCCUCCCUCUUAAAACUAAAGACCAUGGACAUAACACACCAGAAAAGCAUGACUCUGAGAGGUAGAAGGAAGAAGGCCGACCUCCUUGGCUGACUUUAGGGCCAUCACAGUGAUGGGUCCUGGGGGUUUCCCUACUGCCUUCAGUAUACUCCAAGCAGGGCUCUACAUAAGCCUCCAACCCGGAAUUGCCAGCAGGCCCACCCAGACCAAAAAUAGCUUCAAGAAAAGCCUGUUUCAACAACAAC